GUGCUCACUUCAGCAGCACAUGUACUAAAAUUGAAGCUAUACAGAGAAGAUUGUCAUGGCCCCUGUGCAAGGAUGACACUCAAAUUUGUGAAGCAUUUCAUAUUUUU
rnacentral:snRNA from 1 species